CCUCAGGCCAGGAGCCAUGUCAUUCCCCUCUCAGACCCUCUACAGCACACGGCAGAAUGCCUGGCACAGCAAACCUGUGUUGAAUUCAACUGAAUGGAAGUUCUUGGAAAUUCAGCAAGGAGUUCAGUGUCCUAAAGUGAGAAGAAGGAUGAAACAGAGAUCUGCCACCCACAGAACACUACAGGAGGUUUCUUCAUGAGGAAAGAUAGAGUUCUGCAUCUGCUCUGCAUUCAGCCCUGAGAUCCAGCUUCCACAGCCCAAGGCAUGAUAAGUUCUUCAAUUCAAGAACCCAAAAAUUGUCAGAUAGCAGCUAUAACCUUCAAAUCCAAUGUAUUCCAGUCUGAAAUGUUCCUCCGUGCGUGACCAGGACUGCUCAACCCCACAGAGCCCAACGUUGGGAGUAUGGAGUGCAUAAAUUUCCUAAGUAUGUCAUUGGGAGUGAUGAUAACUGGACCACUCCUACUUCUACUCCUUGAUUCACAGCCUGGUGACCAAGUGAAUGGUGGGAAUCCUUUCAGCUGCAUGUGAAAAAAACCAGCAGUGAUCUAAGCCAUGAUGAAAUUUAUUGGGACGAAACAUGGAGUGAGGUGGUUUGGGCAGCAAACCACCUUCCACUGAGAUGGAAUAAAAGUUGCAGGAGAAUGAGAACAGAUUGCACCAAGAAGUCCUUUAACUGUCUUCAGGAAACACCUCUAGUUCAAGCCUUUAAGAAAAAAAAAAAAAAAAUAACCUUUAAAAACUAACCAGGUUUCCACUGCG